UACGUAGGGUGCGAGCGUUAAUCGGAAUUACUGGGCGUAAAGCGUGCGCAGGCGGUUGUGCAAGACAGAUGUGAAAUCCCCGGGCUUAACCUGGGAAUUGCAUUUGUGACUGCACGGCUAGAGUGUGUCAGAGGGGGGUAGAAUUCCACGUGUAGCAGUGAAAUGCGUAGAGAUGUGGAGGAACACCGAUGGCGAAGGCAGCCCCCUGGGUUAACACUGACGCUCAGGCACGAAAGCGUGGGGAGCAAACAGG
rnacentral:rRNA from 1 species